UAAGGAAUAUUGGUCAAUGGACGCAAGUCUGAACCAGCCAUGCCGCGUGAAGGAUGAAGGUCCUCUGGAUUGUAAACUUCUUUUAUCUGGGACGAAAACGGGAUUUUUAUCUCAAUUGACGGUACCAGAGGAAUAAGCACCGGCUAACUCCGUGCCAGCAGCCGCGGUAAUACGGAGGGUGCGAGCGUUAUCCGGAUUUACUGGGUUUAAAGGGUGCGUAGGUGGGCUUAUAAGUCAGUGGUGAAAUCUCCGAGCUUAACUUGGAAACUGCCGUUGAUACUAUAGGUCUUGAAUUAUCUGGAGGUAAGCGGAAUAUGUCAUGUAGCAGUGAAAUGCUUAGAUAUGACAUAGAACACCAAUUGCGAAGGCAGCUUACUACAUAUAAAUUGACGCUGAGGCACGAAAGCGUGGGGAUCAAACA
rnacentral:rRNA from 1 species